rnacentral:rRNA from 1 species
AGUGAACGCUGGCGGUAGGCCUAACACAUGCAAGUCGAACGGCAGCACAGUAAGAGCUUGCUCUUACGGGUGGCGAGUGGCGGACGGGUGAGGAAUACAUCGGAAUCUACUUUUUCGUGGGGGAUAACGUAGGGAAACUUACGUUAAUACCGCAUACGACCUACGGGUGAAAGCAGGGGAUCUUCGGACCUUGCGCGAUUGAAUGAGCCGAUGUCGGAUUAGCUAGUUGGCGGGGUAAAGGCCCACCAAGGCGACGAUCCGUAGCUGGUCUGAGAGGAUGAUCAGCCACACUGGAACUGAGACACGGUCCAGACUCCUACGGGAGGCAGCAGUGGGGAAUAUUGGACAAUGGGCGCAAGCCUGAUCCAGCCAUACCGCGUGGGUGAAGAAGGCCUUCGGGUUGUAAAGCCCUUUUGUUGGGAAAGAAAAGCAGCAGGUUAAUACCCCGCUGUUCUGACGGUACCCAAGGAAUAAGCACCGGCUAACUUCGUG